UACGUAGGGUGCAAGCGUUAAUCGGAAUUACUGGGCGUAAAGCGUGCGCAGGCGGUUUUGUAAGACAGGCGUGAAAUCCCCGGGCUUAACCUGGGAAUGGCGCUUGUGACUGCAAAGCUGAAGUGCGGCAGAGGGGGAUGGAAUUCCGCGUGUAGCAGUGAAAUGCGUAGAUAUGCGGAGGAACACCGAUGGCGAAGGCAAUCCCCUGGGCCUGCACUGACGCUCAUGCACGAAAGCGUGGGGAGCAAACAGG
rnacentral:rRNA from 1 species